AAUAUAGUGCCUGAUUUAAAAGGGUAGCUUUGAUAGAGCUAAUAAUGCAACUUUUUGCCUGUAUUA
rnacentral:tRNA from 1 species